rnacentral:rRNA from 1 species
GACCGGCCUUGAAAGAGGCACUCCCUUCGGGCAGAUGUGUAGGUGCUGCAUGGUUGUCGUCAGCUCGUGCCGUGAGGUGUCGGCUUAAGUGCCAUAACGAGCGCAACCCUCAUCAUUAGUUACCAUCAGGUAAGGCUGGGGACUCUAAUGAGACUGCCAUCGUAAGAUGUGAGGAAGGUGGGGAUGACGUCAAAUCAGCACGGCCCUUACGUCCGGGGCGACACACGUGUUACAAUGGGUGGUACAAAGGGCAGCUACCUGGCGACAGGAUGCUAAUCUCGAAAACCGCUCUCAGUUCGGAUCGGAGUCUGCAACUCGACUCCGUGAAGCUGGAUUCGCUAGUAAUCGCGCAUCAGCCACGGCGCGGUGAAUACGUUCCCGGGCCUU